rnacentral:rRNA from 1 species
UUAAGCGACUAAGCGUACACGGUGGAUGCCCUGGCAGUCAGAGGCGAUGAAGGACGUGCUAAUCUGCGAAAAGCGUCGGUAAGGUGAUAUGAACCGUUACAGCCGGCGAUGUCCGAAUGGGGAAACCCAGUGCAAUUCGUUGCACUAUCGUUAACUGAAUACAUAGGUUAACGAGGCGAACCGGGGGAACUGAAACAUCUAAGUACCCCGAGGAAAAGAAAUCAACCGAGAUUCCCCCAGUAGCGGCGAGCGAACGGGGAGCAGCCCAGAGUCUGAAUCAGCUUGUGUGUUAGUGGAACGGUCUGGAAAGUCCGACGGUACAGGGUGAUAGUCCCGUACACCAAAAUGCACAGGUUGUGAACUCGAAGAGUAGGGCGGGACACGUGGUAUCCUGUCUGAAUAUGGGGGGACCAUCCUCCAAGGCUAAAUACUCCUGACUGACCGAUAGUGAACCAGUACCGUGAGGGAAAGGCGAAAAGAACCCCGGCGAGGGGAGUGAAAAAGAACCUGAAACCGUGUACGUACAAGCAGUGGGAGCACCUUCGGGUGUGACUGCGUACCUUUUGUAUAAUGGGUCAGCGACUUAUAUUCUGUAGCAAGGUUAACCGUAUAGGGGAGCCGCAGGGAAACCGAGUCUUAACUGGGCGUUAAGUUGCAGGGUAUAGACCCGAAACCCGGUGAUCUAGCCAUGGGCAGGUUGAAGGUUGGGUAACACUAACUGGAGGACCGAACCGACUAAUGUUGAAAAAUUAGCGGAUGACUUGUGGCUGGGGGUGAAAGGCCAAUCAAACCGGGAGAUAGCUGGUUCUCCCCGAAAGCUAUUUAGGUAGCGCCUCGUGAACUCAUCUUCGGGGGUAGAGCACUGUUUCGGCUAGGGGGUCAUCCCGACUUACCAACCCGAUGCAAACUACGAAUACCGAAGAAUGUUAUCACGGGAGACACACGGCGGGUGCUAACGUCCGUCGUGAAGAGGGAAACAACCCAGACCGCCAGCUAAGGUCCCAAAGUCACAGUUAAGUGGGAAACGAUGUGGGAAGGCACAGACAGCCAGGAUGUUGGCUUAGAAGCAGCCAUCAUUUAAAGAAAGCGUAAUAGCUCACUGGUCGAGUCGGCCUGCGCGGAAGAUGUAACGGGGCUAAACUGUGCACCGAAGCUGCGGCAGCGACACUAUGUGUUGUUGGGUAGGGGAGCGUUCUGUAAGCCUGCGAAGGUGGCCUGUGAGGGUUGCUGGAGGUAUCAGAAGUGCGAAUGCUGACAUAAGUAACGAUAAUGCGGGUGAAAAGCCCGCACGCCGGAAGACCAAGGGUUCCUGUCCAACGUUAAUCGGGGCAGGGUGAGUCGACCCCUAAGGCGAGGCCGAAAGGCGUAGUCGAUGGGAAACAGGUUAAUAUUCCUGUACUUGGUGUUACUGCGAAGGGGGGACGGAGAAGGCUAUGUUAGCCGGGCGACGGUUGUCCCGGUUUAAGCAUGUAGGCGGAGGUUCCAGGUAAAUCCGGUACCUUAUUAACGCUGAGGUGUGAUGACGAGGCACUACGGUGCUGAAGUAACAAAUGCCCUGCUUCCAGGAAAAGCCUCUAAGCAUCAGGUAACAUUAAAUCGUACCCCAAACCGACACAGGUGGUCAGGUAGAGAAUACCAAGGCGCUUGAGAGAACUCGGGUGAAGGAACUAGGCAAAAUGGUGCCGUAACUUCGGGAGAAGGCACGCUGAUAUGUAGGUGAAGCCCCUGCGGGUGGAGCUGAAAUCAGUCGAAGAUACCAGCUGGCUGCAACUGUUUAUUAAAAACACAGCACUGUGCAAACACGAAAGUGGACGUAUACGGUGUGACGCCUGCCCGGUGCCGGAAGGUUAAUUGAUGGGGUUAUCCGUAAGGAGAAGCUCUUGAUCGAAGCCCCGGUAAACGGCGGCCGUAACUAUAACGGUCCUAAGGUAGCGAAAUUCCUUGUCGGGUAAGUUCCGACCUGCACGAAUGGCGUAAUGAUGGCCAGGCUGUCUCCACCCGAGACUCAGUGAAAUUGAACUCGCUGUGAAGAUGCAGUGUACCCGCGGCAAGACGGAAAGACCCCGUGAACCUUUACUAUAGCUUGACACUGAACAUUGAGCCUUGAUGUGUAGGAUAGGUGGGAGGCUUUGAAGCGUGGACGCCAGUCUGCGUGGAGCCAACCUUGAAAUACCACCCUUUAAUGUUUGAUGUUCUAACGUUGGCCCCUAAUCGGGGUUGCGGACAGUGUCUGGUGGGUAGUUUGACUGGGGCGGUCUCCUCCCAAAGAGUAACGGAGGAGCACGAAGGUUAGCUAAUCCUGGUCGGACAUCAGGAGGUUAGUGCAAUGGCAUAAGCUAGCUUGACUGCGAGCGUGACGGCGCGAGCAGGUGCGAAAGCAGGUCAUAGUGAUCCGGUGGUUCUGAAUGGAAGGGCCAUCGCUCAACGGAUAAAAGGUACUCCGGGGAUAACAGGCUGAUACCGCCCAAGAGUUCAUAUCGACGGCGGUGUUUGGCACCUCGAUGUCGGCUCAUCACAUCCUGGGGCUGAAGUAGGUCCCAAGGGUAUGGCUGUUCGCCAUUUAAAGUGGUACGCGAGCUGGGUUUAGAACGUCGUGAGACAGUUCGGUCCCUAUCUGCCGUGGGCGCUGGAGAAUUGAGGGGGGGCUGCUCCUAGUACGAGAGGACCGGAGUGGACGCAUCACUGGUGUUCGGGUUGUCAUGCCAAUGGCAUUGCCCGGUAGCUAAAUGCGGAAGAGAUAAGUGCUGAAAGCAUCUAAGCACGAAACUUGCCCCGAGAUGAGUUCUCCCUGAGACUUUAAGUCUCCUGAAGGAACGUUAAAGACGAUGACGUUGAUAGGUCGGGUGUGUAAGCGUAGCGAUACGUUGAGCUAACCGAUACUAAUGAACCGUGAGGCUUAACCUU